GAUGAAACGUAGAAGGGGAGGAGUACAUCCGUAUCCCGCCAGAGAGGAAAGCCGGUUCUAAUGAAUCGCUGUGAGGUUUUCCCGGAAGAGAAGGAUGGAAGGUAGCCCUGGAGUUGCGAUGAUGAACAAAAAGCGCAAGAAGCUUUUCAGUAGUCAUUGCCGGUUCACUGCCGUUACCGAGGAAGAGUGUAUACGUCCUAUUUCGAGAAGACGUGUAAACAAAGGUGGUACCGCGAGCUGAAUACAGCCUUCGUCCUUUCA
rnacentral:ncRNA from 1 species